rnacentral:rRNA from 1 species
UGGGGGAUAUUGCACAAUGGGGGAAACCCUGAUGCAGCGACGCCGCGUGGAGGAAGAAGGUUUUCGGAUUGUAAACUCCUGUCGUUAGGGACGAUAAUGACGGUACCUAACAAGAAAGCACCGGCUAACUACGUGCCAGCAGCCGCGGUAAAACGUAGGGUGCAAGCGUUGUCCGGAAUUACUGGGUGUAAAGGGAGCGCAGGCGGACCGGCAAGUUGGAAGUGAAAACUAUGGGCUCAACCCAUAAAUUGCUUUCAAAACUGCUGGCCUUGAGUAGUGCAGAGGUAGGUGGAAUUCCCGGUGUAGCGGUGGAAUGCGUAGAUAUCGGGAGGAACACCAGUGGCGAAGGCGACCUACUGGGCACCAACUGACGCUGAGGCUCGAAAGCAUGGGUAGCAAACAGGAUUAGAUACCCUGGUAGUCCAUGCCGUAAACGAUGAUUACUAGGUGUUGGAGGAUUGACCCCUUCAGUGCCGCAGUUAACACAAUAAGUAAUCCACCUGGGGAGUACGACCGCAAGGUUGAAACUCAAAGGGAUUGACGGGGGCCCGCACAAGCAGUGGAGUAUGUGGUUUAAUUCGAAGCAACGCGAAGAACCUUACCAGGUCUUGACAUCCGAUGCAUAGCUUAGAGAUAAGUGAAGUCCUUCGGGACAUCGAGACAGGUGGUGCAUGGUUGUCGUCAGCUCGUGUCGUGAGAUGUUGGGUUAAGUCCCGCAACGAGCGCAACCCUUAUUGCCAGUUACUACGCAAGAGGACUCUAGCGAGACUGCCGUUGACAAAACGGAGGAAGGUGGGGAUGACGUCAAAUCAUCAUGCCCUUUAUGACCUGGGCUACACACGUACUACAAUGGCGUUUAACAAAGAGAAGCAAGACCGCGAGGUGGAGCAAAACUCAAAAACAACGUCUCAGUUCAGAUUGCAGGCUGCAACUCGCCUGCAUGAAGUCGGAAUUGCUAGUAAUCGCGGAUCAGCAUGCCGCGGUAAAUACGUUCCC